UAUAGACAGAGCACACACAGACCCAGCAUCUCUCCCGUGCUUUGUCGAUGUGGGAUUCGCCUAAGGGUAUCACAAGACUGUUGCAGGUUACAUCUUUCUUGUGGUUGCUGCUGCUAUCAUGACCGAUUGGGCCCUUGCAAAGCAUCGUCGCUUGAAGAAGCUAUUUGACGGGAUGGAUGGAAGGCCAAAAUAUCCACGCCGAUGGGUGAUAUUGCCUCCGUUUCUAUAGAAGUAAACAAUCAUGUCUAUUGUUGGUUAACUCUUGGAUUCAAUAACUAGAAUGCUAGUGAGAUAUGAAUUAGAGAUCGGGAGUUCACAUAGUUUUGUAAUUGGAUCCAGUCCUCCAUACCGACAUUGUACUUCAUUUCAAUUUCGUAAUUUGUUGUCUAUAUGUAAUAACUCUGGAAUUGUUUUGAGCCUUGUUGGUUCAGUAUUUUGUGCAUGGUUUUCUUGAUUCUUGAUUCUUCUUUCUUAUACCUGAAUGGAACAUCAUGGUUUGCAUCUC